CGACCCCAGGUCAGGCGGGAUCACCUGACAAGGAUUCCCUUAGUAACGGCAAGCGAACCGGGAAGAGCCCAGCUUGAAAAUCGGACGUCUUUGGCGUUCGAAUUGUAGUCUGGAGAAGCGUCCUCAGCGACGGACCGGGCCCAAGUUCCCUGGAAAGGGGCACAAGAGAGGCUGAGAGCCCCGUCGUGCCCGGACCCUGUCGCACCACGAGGCGCUGUCUACGAGUCGGGUUGUUUGGAAUGCAGCCCCAAUCGGGCGGUAAAUUCUGUCCAAGGCUAAAUAUGGGCGAGAGACUGAUAGAGAACAAGUACCGCGAGGUAAAGAUGAAAAGGACUUUGAAAAGAGAGUCAAAGAAUGGUUGAAAUUGUUCGGAGGGAAGCGGAUGGGGGCCGGCGAUUCAUCCCGGUCGGAUGCGGAACGAAGCAAUCUGGUCCGCCAAUCGAUUUGGGCCGUGGACCAACACAGAUUAAGGUGGUGACCUAGGCCUGGGCUUUUGUUACGCCCGCGGAGACGUCGCUGCCUUAAUCGUGGUCUGCAGCACGCGCCGCACGGCGUGCCUCGGCAUCUGCGUUCUCAGAUCUUGAAACACGGACCAAGUGUAACAUCCCAGAUCCUGAAUAGGAUCAUUGGGACGGCCAUGGUUCGAGGAAACGUACUAGUCAGUCUUAGGACAUCAAGACAAUCGUUCCAUGGCCAGAUAAGAAGGUUAACCAUAUACAAGUCGAGAGUCAGCUAGGACGAGUAAGACGGUAGCUGGACGGAUGGAACAAGUAGCUCGACCAGCUCAACGAAGUUAGGUUAAGAUCACUCCAGGUCGGCCGCUAGUAAGUCAGCUCCACUAGCUGAACUACUAGCUCACUCAGCUGAGGCAGCUGGGAGUCAGCUCAUCUCAGCUGGAAGGACGAUUGUAAACUAACAAGACCUUAAAUUUAAAGUACCAUGGCCUAAUCCUUGACCUACAACAUCCUUGGCUAUCUGAGUGAACACAUCCUUCACGCCAAGCCAAACUAUUUGAGAAACCAUCGCUCCAUCACUUAACGACUAAACAACAAUCUAUGAUUUGUCAAAAAAACGUCGUGUGACUAUUAAGAGAAUAAUUAUCGUAUAGCCCACAGUCGAAAAUCAUAUGAUAAAUUCUUCGUAACGAAAUUCAGUCCUAACAACCAAACGGUUAACAGAAAAUCUAAACUUUUCGAAAAUUGACCAAGUUGAUUACGCUCCACAAUUCACUUUAAGCCCGCAAA
rnacentral:ncRNA from 1 species